rnacentral:rRNA from 1 species
UACGAAUGGGGCAAGCGUUGUUCGGAAUCACUGGGCUUAAAGCGUGCGUAGGCGGACUUGCAAGUCAGGAGUGAAAGCCAGGGGCUUAACCUCUGAACUGCUCUUGAAACUGCAAGUCUAGAAUCCUGGAGAGGUUGGGAGAAUUCCUAGUGUAGAGGUGAAAUUCGCAGAUAUUAGGAGGAAUACCAGUGGCGUAGGCGCCCAACUGGACAGGCAUUGACGCUGAGGCACGAAAGCGUGGGGAGCAAACAGG